GGUUCAAUGGUGUAGUUGGUUAUCACGUCCGUCUCACAUGGGGCGGUGCACGGGAGGUCUCCGGUUCGAACCCGGGUUGAACCA